CUCAUCAAUUUGCUGCGGGCUGAUGAAGUGAAUAUGCGAGUCGAUACCGCCCGCCGUCACGAUCAUGCCUUCACCGGCAAUCACUUCGGUAGCCGCGCCGAUUGCAAUCGUCACGCCCGGCUGAAUAUCCGGAUUGCCCGCCUUGCCGAUCGCAAACACGCGCCCGUUCUUGAUGCCGAUAUCCGCCUUCACGAUGCCCCAGUGAUCGAGGAUCAGCGCGUUCGUCACCACUGUAUCCACCACGUCAGCGUGCACGCGCUGCGACUGGCCCAUGCCGUCGCGAA
rnacentral:sRNA from 1 species